UACGAAGGGUGCAAACGUUGCUCGGAAUUAUUGGGCGUAAAGCGCGCGUAGGCGGCCUGCUAAGUCGAACGUGAAAUCCCCGGGCUCAACCCGGGAACUGCGUCCGAUACUGGCAGGCUUGAAUCCGGGAGAGGGAUGCGGAAUUCCAGGUGUAGCGGUGAAAUGCGUAGAUAUCUGGAGGAACACCGGUGGCGAAGGCGGCAUCCUGGACCGGCAUUGACGCUGAGGCGCGAAAGCCAGGGGAGCAAACGGG
rnacentral:rRNA from 1 species